rnacentral:rRNA from 1 species
GACGAACGCUGGCGGCGUGCUUAACACAUGCAAGUCGAACGGAAAGGCCCUACUUUUGUGGGGUGCUCGAGUGGCGAACGCGUGAGUAACACGUGAGUAACCUGCCCUUGUCUUUCGGAUAACAUCACGAAACUCGGGCUAAUACCGCAUAGGAUCUCCUGCUCCAUUGGGGUGAUAGGAGAGUUUCGGCGGUUGGGGAUGGACUGGCGGCUUAUCAGCUUGUUGGUGGGGUAGUUGCUUACCCAGGGUUUGACGGGUAGCCGGCCUGAGAGGGUGACCGGCCACAUUGGGACUGAGAGACGGACCAGACUGCUACGGGAGGCAGUAGUGGAGAAUCUUGCACAAUGGGCGGAAGCGUGAUGCAGCAGCGUCGCGUGCGUGAUGACGGCUUUCGGGUUGUAAACAGCUUUCGACUGUGACGAAGAGUGAGUGACGGUAACGGGUAAAGAAGCACCGGCUAACUACGUG